rnacentral:rRNA from 1 species
UACGUAGGGUGCAAGCGUUGUCCGGAAUUAUUGGGCGUAAAGAGCUCGUAGGCGGUUUGUUGCGUCGGCUGUGAAAUCCCUAGGCUCAACCUAGGAACUGCGUCUGAUACUGGAUGGCUUGAAUCCGGGAGAGGGAUGCAGAAUUCCAGGUGUAGCGGUGAAAUGCGUAGAUAUCUGGAGGAAUACCGGUGGCGAAGGCGGCAUCCUGGACCGACAUUGACGCUGAGGAGCGAAAGCUAGGGGAGCAAACGGG